CCUACGGGAGGCAGCAGUGGGGAAUAUUGGGCAAUGGGCGCAAGCCUGACCCAGCAACGCCGCGUGAAGGAAGAAGGCUUUCGGGUUGUAAACUUCUUUUCUGCGGGACGAAGAAAGUGACGGUACCUCAGGAAUAAGCCACGGCUAACUACGUGCCACCAGACGCGGUAAUCCGUGGGUGGCAAGCGUUAUCCGGAUUUAUUGGGUGUAAAGGGCGGGUAGGCGGGAAAGCAAGUCAGAUGUGAAAACUCAGGGCUCAACCCUGGGCCUGCAUUUGAAACUGUGUUUCUUGAGUGCUGGAGAGGCAAUCGGAAUGCGGGGUGUAGCGGUGAAAUGCGUAGAUAUACGGAAGAACACCGGUGGCGAAGGCAGAUUGCUGGACAGUAACUGACGCUGAGGCGCGAAAGCGUGGGGAGCGAACAGGAUUAGAUACCCUAGUAGUC
rnacentral:rRNA from 1 species